AUAAGAGGUGUCGUGGUGUGGAGAAAUGAAACUAUAACCUAACCUUAAAGUGAUGAUGUUAUCGGUUGCUCUCGCCGAUAAAGUAAACUUAAUUGGGAGUUUAUUUGCCACGACACCUUUAAUUUUUACU
rnacentral:telomerase_RNA from 1 species